rnacentral:rRNA from 1 species
CGUCAAAUCAUCAUGCCCCUUAUGACCUGGGCUACACACGUGCUACAAUGGAUGGUACAAAGGGCAGCGAAGCCGCGAGGUGAAGCAAAUCCCAUAAAACCAUUCUCAGUUCGGAUUGCAGGCUGCAACUCGCCUGCAUGAAGCCGGAAUCGCUAGUAAUCGCGGAUCAGCAUGCCGCGGUGAAUACGUUCCCGGGCCUU